UGAGGGAAUAUUUGCACAAUGGAGGAAACUACUGAUGCAGCAACGCCGCGUGGAGGAUGACGCAUUUCGGUGUGUAAACUCCUUUUAUGAGUCAAGAAAAUGACGGUAGCUCAUGAAUAAGCACCGGCUAACUCCGUGCCAGCAGCCGCGGUAAUACGGAGGGUGCAAGCGUUAUUCGGAAUCACUGGGCGUAAAGGACGCGUAGGCGGGAAGCCAAGUCUGAUGUGAAAUCCUAUGGCUUAACCAUAGAACUGCAUUGGAAACUGGUUACCUAGAGUAUGGGAGGGGGAGAUGGAAUUAGUGGUGUAGGGGUAAAAUCCGUAGAUAUCACUAGGAAUACCGAAAGCGAAGGCGAUCUCCUGGAACAAUACUGACGCUAAGGCGUGAAAGCGUGGGGAGCAAACG
rnacentral:rRNA from 1 species